rnacentral:lncRNA from 13 species
CAUCUAACCAAAUGUUUUUUGGCCGCUGAAAAAUCCUGCCAUUGGUCAGACUCGGCAAUAGGCACAUCCCAUACACCUGGUGAUGCGCGCUCAGCCCCGCAUCCCGGGCCGGGGGGGACAAAGCCGGGAGCGGGGAUCUGUCAGGCCCCGGGCCGGGAGCUCAGGCGAGCGCGAUGCCAGGUUAACAAUUUGCAAUUUGCCUCCCUCCUGGACGCCGCGGCAGCCCUCCAUUUUGUCAGCCGCCUCAAUUUAAACGUUUUCCAAGUCGAACGCAGAACUUCAACAUUUCUUCGGGAGCCCUCCGAGGCUUUAAAGCAUCCCCGACCAUUUUACGCAGCCCGCUCGCAGCCAGCGCUCCGGGCUAAGUUUAGCGGGGCAGCCGCGCACGCCGCGGCUCACGGGCAGCGCCGAGCCCCCCGCGGGGCAGCCCGCGGGCUCCUUCCCAUCGCUUCUCCCAGCGGCGCCUGCUCCCGCCCCGCGCUCCGGCGGCGCCCGGCCUCCUCCCCGCACGGGGAGAGGCAGGUGGAUGUCGGGAGGACGGGAAGGAAGGGACGCGAGGCAGGAGCCGCCGCGGGCAGCGGGGUGCCGGCAGCAGGUAGGGAGGGCAGCGCGGGGCGGCCGCCGGUGCCUGCGGUGCCUGUGCCGUUCCCCCUCCCUCCGGCCCCUGUUCUUACCACCUGCGGAGGCGGCCGGAGCACGCCCGGCCCGGGGCAGCGACCUGUCCACUGCGGGCGCUCUCCUCCGGAGCAUCAGAUUCCCAGAAUGACCGAAACGACUACAAACACACGGGAAGAGCAGGCACAAGGAGAGAAACGAGCGAGAGAAAAGAGUUUUGCUGGCAUCAGUACUAUGGUGAACCUGCCAGCACCGCUGUGUACGCGGGACAUCUUACACACCAAAAUUCAAACUCCAGUCCAUCACCUCUGAUGGCUUUUGAAUCCCUGUGCCAGAAGCCCUUGGAAGACAGCAUGAGGAAGAGGAUUAACUGCAUGGGUCCUUAUGUUCUUGGUGGCUGUCUCUUCAAACGAAGUGCCUUCGGAAAAGCACAUGGCUAUCACUCAGUAAAAUGGUUUGGGUGGUUGGUGCUUCAGGAAGCAGGUAACUCUGAAUAAAUUGUAUGGUGGUGGGCUCUGUCCUGGCAAUAUUGACCAGGAGCCACCUUGAUGAAGGGCCUUGUGUUAAGGAGUUGUGAGCUGUCUCAUGAGAAAGCCUUGUUGGCACUCAUACUGAACAGUCUCGUCCUGUGUGAGGGAAUGCAGAGCAUGCAGGAGAGAGAGAAGCCCAAGCUCCAUCAGAGAGACAGAAGAUCAAAAGCAGUGAAGAAAUUAUGGUAAAGCAAUUAACAUUGGGAUGUCCACUAUUUUGCAUGUGUCUGUUUUCCAGUAGCUGAAAAGCAAUUUUGCCUUGUGUCUCAAUAAAGCAGUGGCCCCAAAGAUGCCUUUCCCAAACCCCCAAAGUGCCCACAGCAUUAAAAAUCUGCACAAUUAACUGCUGGUUAAUGGAGCUAGAACUGACCCAUUUUGACGAAGGUGAUCAGAGAGCGUGCCAGAGAAACUGGAGGUGACAGCCAGUGCCCCAGCUCUUUCAUUCCAGAAAAUUGCAGGAACAAAUAGUUCCAGCAUGGUUAUCCUCACAAAGAGAAGUAAGGAGCAGCGGAGAGAGAUGCGUGGUGAGGAGGAAGGACAUUUCAAUUCUCUCUUCCCUUUUGUCAUCUCAACUCAAUAACACCUUAUGUAACACGUUUGGGUUUUGUUUAAGUUGUGAGACUGUAAAAGUUUCCUGACUGUAAAACUGUAAGAAUAGGAAGUACUUGUGAUCUUUUGAAAAGAUUUUUCUUUCUAGCUGAAAAAAAGGAUAUAUGCAGAGAAGCCUGUACUAGAACAGCAAGUUAAAGCUUUUUCAAUAUAAAGUCAGGAUAUUUCUUUUUCCUAAUGUAAUAAAAGGUGUGACAAAACCAGUGGUAUCACUAUUAAUUCCUGCAUGUUGAAAUUAUUACUAAGAAUAACUUUUCACCUGAGGUUGAGCCGAAAGUCUGGUGUGGGAGAACAUUGCAGGGUGAAACUGGACAGGUUCAUUGCUAACCUGAAGACACAAACAGAAGGAGUCAGGAGGACUCAGACACAGCAGCAUCAGACCUCGCUUCAUUGAGAAUAGGAGCUGCAUCUCCUGUUUGUAGUGGACAAAGUGUGAGUGUGUUGGCGGCUGACAUCCCUCCAGCUGGCCGUGGCCACUCGUGUAGGAGUAGUAACUCCUUAGCAUGUCAGAGUCUAACUCUGGCUUAACUCUUUUUUUUUUCCCCUAUGAGAGCCUUUUUUUCCUCCCUACCACUUGCACAGAGCAGGCUCCUGGAAAUGAUCUGAAUUGCAGGUGCAAAUCAGGAGAGAGUCAGGCCUUAGUCUGGCGAACACCUGAACCAUCUGGCAGAGAGAGAGUGCCUGUUUUUGGUGGUGUCCCUGGCUGCUGACCUCCCCUCCCCAAGUUUUUAAAGUCCGUCAAUUCUGUGAAAUGUAUUUUGCUACACUUCUGGUGAUGGAUUUUUUGGCCUAAGUUCACUGUUCCUUUUUGAGAAUGUGGUAUGGAAAGAGUUAAAGUUAGUGUUCCUUUCUUGUGCCUCCUUAUGAGGCUUAUGAGAUAAGAAGAUCGAAGUGUCUAUAUGGGGUAAAACAAGGGCAAAAGACACUAUGGUGGCUAUCCAACAGGCUAUGCAACAGCCCAUGAACUUUGAUACUCCCCCCUUCCUACCUGUUCAUGUCUCACUUCUGGCAUGAGUGGCUGCAAGUGUGUCACCCCUCACUGCCCCUGUUCCUGGGGGCCAGGGAGGGACAAUAGCUGGGUACUUUUAAGAGCUGAAGGUCAUGCACCUUUUUUACAAAGGUUUCUCUUUCUUUUUUAGUAAAAGCUAGCGCAGCUUUUUGUUCCUUUUCCAGCUAAUGGAUUUUGUGGCACUUCAUUUGGUUAAUCAGUUAGCAGUGAUUAAACAGGGGAAAGAUGAAUGACAGUCGGAGUAACGUCAUCAUGGUUUCUGCACAGUGGAAAGGAGUGGUUUGCCAGGGAAACCUCUUGCGAAAUAAGUGAGAAUUGAACUAUAAGCACAGAAUUUACCCUGCUUUAAAAUCCCCUUGUGGGUGCUCACUUCCUCCAUAGGCUGAAGUUGUUGAAGAAGUUAUCAUUCCCAGACAGCUUCCAGUCACUGUGGCUGUCUUCUGCCAAAGGCUACCACCUCCCCUCCCUACCUGCAAGCUGCUCACUCAAUCCCUCCCAAACUUGUUUUCACCAAAGUCAACCAGAACAGCUUAAGCAGUUUAAACAGUAGAAGUCAGCUGCACUGGUUUGUUUUGGCCGAAAUGGAUUAGGGGAAACCCAAGUCACCAGAUGGGAAGUGAGGUGAUGACUUUUUCAUGGACAGCUUCAGGGGCAGUGGGAGGUUGGGCCUAAUCUGCUUUCAGAGCAGACUUUUGUACCAGACAUGACUGCUACCGACAG